AAAUUCUGGAAUGCAAAUACUACCGUGCCACCUAAAUGCGGUCACUGGUCGAUGACCUCGCACGUUUUUUGUGCUUCAAGUUGGGAUUUACACAAUUCUGCAAUGUUUUGUAAUUUGGAAUAAAAAUACGAAAAGGUUGCUGCAGGCCAUUAGCAUUGACCGUGCAUAUAUGCAGAUAUUUAUUCAUGGUGGAUUAUAGUUAAAUUUAUUUAUCUUCCUGAACUCUAAGCAUGGAUAACAACUACCUGAAUUGAUUGUGGAUAACCUUCAACAGCUAUACCACUCAAACAGUUUAAAUGAUAUUCUGGAUAAUAUAUACAGUUAAAAAUAAGUAGAAACAGUGCUAUACAGACAGUAUUGUGAGGAAUGUGAUUUUUAUAAUGCAUUUUGGUUUUUCGAUUUUUUUUAUUUUUUUUUAUUAUUGUUAUAAUAAAUAAAUUUUAGUCUUAA